AGCACAGCUAGAGGCGCGGAGAUUAAGAGUACGCUGAUGGAGGCCGAAAGCCUGAGAAGUCAGCCGGAAAGGAUGAUCCGCCGAAGUCGCUUUGUCAUAAAAGCGGCUGGGGACCUAUCGAACAGGUAGGUCACUGUCUUUGUAAAGAUGCCAUUUUACAAAGGAGCACUAUCUUAAGG
rfam:Holdemania filiformis DSM 12042 genomic scaffold Scfld10, whole genome shotgun sequence.